AUCUUAGUGUACACACUGUGCUCUGUAAUAAGAUAAUGGUGUUAGUGUACACACUGUGCUCUGUAAUAACACCAUUAUCUUAUUACAGAGCACGGUGUGUACACCA